GAUGAACGCUGGCGGCGUGCCUAAUACAUGCAAGUCGAGCGAACAGACGAGGAGCUUGCUCCUCUGACGUUAGCGGCGGACGGGUGAGUAACACGUGGAUAACCUACCUAUAAGACUGGGAUAACUUCGGGAAACCGGAGCUAAUACCGGAUAAUAUAUUGAACCACAUGGUUCAAUAGUGAAAGACGGUUUUGCUGUCACUUAUAGAUGGAUCCGCGCCGCAUUAGCUAGUUGGUAAGGUAACGGCUUACCAAGGCAACGAUGCGUAGCCGACCUGAGAGGGUGAUCGGCCACACUGGAACUGAGACACGGUCCAGACUCCUACGGGAGGCAGCAGUAGGGAAUCUUCCGCAAUGGGCGAAAGCUUGACGGAGCAACGCCGCGUGAGUGAUGAAGGUCUUCGGAUCGUAAAACUCUGUUAUUAGGAAAGAACAAAUGUGUAAGUAACUAUGCACGUCUUGACGGUACCUAAUCAGAAAGCCACGGCUAACUACGUG
rnacentral:rRNA from 1 species